rnacentral:lncRNA from 1 species
AUGAGCGCAGGUGGCUGCGGUCCUUCGUCGGGCUCUCGAAUGCGCAGGCGCUGUCGUUUCGGGAGCUCUGAAGAGCUGGCGGAGCCCGGCGAGGAUGGAGGCCUCAGGGCGGCGGGGGCGGAGCGCGCCGCGAGCAGGGGGCAUGUCCGCAGCGGGCGCCGUCUAGAGGAAGGCCGAGCAGCCACCACCACGCUUUCAGUCGCGGCGAGACGCAAGCGAGCCAGGCUGAGGGCCGCGGCGGCGAUGCAGCGACGGCGGCGCCCACCGCCGCCCGCUUCUCAGCUGCCGGAGGGCUGCGGGGGAGGCGGCAGUUUCGGUGGCGGCGGCGGCGGCCGCGCGCAGCACGGAGGAAGAGGAGGAGAGGCUCGAGCGCGAGCACUUCUGGAAGAUCAUAAAUGCCUUCCGCUACUACGGGGAAAUGGAAAGAUUAUGCCAGCAUCUACGUUUGACAUGGAUAAGUUAAAAUCCACAUUGAAACAGUUUGUGAGAGACUGGAGUGAAACUGGGAAAGCAGAAAGGGAUGCCUGCUACCAACCAAUCAUUAAAGAAAUUUUAAAAAAUUUUCCAAAAGAGAAAUGGGAUCCUUCUAAAGUAAAUAUUCUGGUACCUGGUGCUGGACUAGGAAGACUGGCCUGGGAAAUAGCUAUGCUAGGUUAUGCUUGUCAAGGAAAUGAAUGGAGUUUUUUUAUGCUUUUUUCUUCCAACUUUGUACUCAACAGAUGUUCUGAAAUUAAUAAAUAUAAGCUUUAUCCCUGGAUUCAUCAGUUUAGCAAUAACCGAAGGUCAGCUGAUCAGAUUCGACCCAUCUUUUUCCCUGAUGUUGACCCCCACAGUCUUCCUCCCGGUUCUAACUUUUCCAUGACAGCAGGAGAUUUUCAGGAGAUAUACUCAGAAUGCAAUACCUGGGACUGUAUUGCUACCUGUUUCUUCAUAGACACAGCUCACAAUGUAAUUGAUUAUAUUGAUACAAUAUGGAAAAUACUCAAGCCAGGUGGAAUUUGGAUAAAUCUAGGUCCUCUGCUGUACCACUUUGAAAAUUUGGCGAAUGAACUUUCCAUAGAAUUGAGCUAUGAGGAUAUAAAAAAUGUUGUCCUGCAGUAUGGAUUCCAGUUAGAGGUGGAAAAAGAAUCUGUCUUGUCAACGUAUACUGUGAAUGAUCUAUCCAUGAUGAAAUACUACUAUGAAUGUGUUUUGUUUGUGGUCCGUAAACCACAAUAA